AUGCCCAACCCGCCUACCCCCUCCUCGCCGUCGCCGCUCCCGGCCCCGGCGCGCAAAUCUCCGUCCAGCCGCCGGCGCCAGCGCCUCCUCACGUCCCCGAAGCCGUCGUCCGCUCCCACCUCCUCGUCCUCGUCGGCGUCGUCGGCGUCGUCUUCCUCCGCGUCCUUCUCCUUCGCCCCCUUCUCCCCGGCGCCCUCGCCGUUCCACCACCGCUUCCUCUCCCCGCUCCGGGCCUCCGCGGUGCCCUUCUCCUGGGAGCACCGGCCUGGCAUCCCCAAGACCCCCGCGCGCGGCGCCAGCACCCGCAACAAGUCCGGUGCCUCGCCGCUACCCCUCCCGCCGUCGCUCUUCUCCAACAACAAGGUGGUCGCCGAGUACUCCUUCGGCGCCGACGGCGCGUACUCCGUCGUCCCUGCGAAGGCAAGGAAGCGCAAGCAGCAGCGGCGGUGGCCGGCGGUGACCGACGCCCUGACCGAGUGGCUGGCGGUGCUGAGCCUCUACCGGUCGUGCACGAGGUCGCGCGACUCCCUCGCCGCCUCCGGCCCGCCGCCGCACCCGCGCCGGUGCUCGCCCUAG
rnacentral:rRNA from 1 species